UCCCUUUUCUGUUUAUUGUUGAGCUAUGUUGAGUUCAGUUGAGUUGAGUUGUGCUUAUCUUUGGCCCAUUUUGCGGCCAAAUUCUAAACAGUCUGUUAGCCACGCUAAAGGCGAGCACAGUCCAUUUGGUAAAUUUCAGGGCCAAACAAAUUUGCUAAUUACCCCAAAAGUGCACAAAAUCUGUGUGUAAAGUACAAACAACAAAUCGAAAGUUGAAAACACCACAAAAAUAGCUAACAAUAGGCAGCAAAACAUUGCGUGGAAUUCAUUCACCAACAGCUGCUUGCACUUAAUGUUUGUUUAAACUUAGCAAAAGAAAAAUGUUUAAAUCUAAACAAAAAUUACCAAUUUAUAUUGAUUGAAAUGGAAGUCAACUUUAAUUAGCAAUUAAAUAACAGACUGCAGCUUCAAGAAACUAUGAAAUGAUAAUUUGAGGAAUUAUUCAAGAUUCGCAAAUGUUUAAAUCUAAACAAAAGUUGGCAACUUAAAUCGAUUCAACUGGAAGUCAACUUUAAUUAGCAAUUCAAUAACAGGUAAAUAUUUGAGACUAAGUUCAAUUUUGCUUUAUUUUAUAAAUGAUUAAACUUU